UACAGAGGGGGCAAGCGUUGUUCGGAAUUACUGGGCGUAAAGGGCGCGUAGGCGGCCCGCUAAGUCGAACGUGAAAUCCCUGGGCUCAACCCAGGAACUGCGUCCGAUACUGGCAGGCUUGAAUCCGGGAGAGGGAUGUGGAAUUCCAGGUGUAGCGGUGAAAUGCGUAGAUAUCUGGAGGAACACCGGUGGCGAAGGCGGCAUCCUGGACCGGUAUUGACGCUGAUGCGCGAAAGCUAGGGGAGCAAACGGG
rnacentral:rRNA from 1 species